rnacentral:rRNA from 1 species
UGAAUACGAGAUGCUACGGCGUCGAAGCAGUCUAUGUCAUACUUCCAAGAAAAGCUUGCACUGUCAUAAACAAAUAAUGCCUGUACCAUAACCGACACAGGUGGGUAGGUAGAGUAUACUAAGGGGCGCGAGAUAACUCUCUCUAAGGAACUCGGCAAAAUGACUCCGUAACUUCGGGAGAAGGAGUGCCUUAUUUAUAAGGUUGCAAUAACAAGAUCCAAGCAACUGUUUACCAAAAACACAGGUCUCCGCUAAGUCGUAAGACGAUGUAUGGGGGCUGACGCCUGCCCAGUGCCAGAAGGUUAAAGAAGUUGGUUAGCAUCCGCGAAGCUGAUAACUGAAGCCCUGGUGAACGGCGGCCGUAACGAUAACGGUCCUAAGGUAGCGAAAUUCCUUGUCGGGUAAGUUCCGACCCGCACGAAAGGCGUAAUGAUUUGGAUACUGUCUCGGAGAGGGGCUCGGUGAAAUAGACUUGUCUGUGAAGAUGCGGACUACCUGCACCAGGACAGAAAGACCCUAUGAAGCUUUACUGUAACCUGAAAUUGAAAUUGGACUUUACUUGCGCAGUAUAGGUGGGAGGCGUUGAGAAUAUUCUUGCGGGAUUAUUGGAGCCAUCAGUGAGAUACCACUCUUGUAAUGUUAGAUUUCUAACUUUGUAUCAUUAUCUGGUCAAAGAACAGUUUCAGGCGGGCAGUUUGACUGGGGCGGUCGCCUCCUAAACGGUAACGGAGGCGCACAAAGGUUUCCUCUGAACGGGUAGAAAUCGUAUCUAGAGUGUAAAGGCAUAAGGAAGCUUGACUGUGAGACCUACAAGUCGAGCAGGGACGAAAGUCGGUCUUAGUGAUCUGACGGUGCUGAGUGGAAAGGCCGUCACUCAACGGAUAAAAGUUACUCUAGGAUAACAGGCUGAUCUCCCCCAAGAGUUCACAUCGACGGGGAGGUUUGGCACCUCGAUGUCGGCUCAUCGCAUCCUGGGGCGGUAGUACGUCCCAAGGGUUGGGCUGUUCGCCCAUGAAAGCGGUACGCGAGCUGGGUUCAGAACGUCGUGAGACAGUUCGGUCCAUAUCCGGUGUAGGCGUUAGAAUAUUGAGAGGAGCCUUCUUUAGUACGAGAGGACCGAGAAGGACAUACCUCUGGUGUACCAGUUAUCGUGCCAACGGUAAACGCUGGGUAGCUAUGUGUGGAGUGGAUAACCGCUGAAAGCAUCUAAGUGGGAAGCCCACCUCAAGAUAAGUAUUCUCAUG